AAAAAAAACCUAGCCGUGUAUACAAUGAUCUCUCAAUGAAAAUCAUGCCUCCGUACUGCUAUCAGCCUGUCACCAUUCUUAUCAUCCCUCCAUCAAUAUUAGAAAAGUGUUAGGCUUCAAAAUCACCAUUACCCUUCUCCUUCGGAUGUUGGAUCCUAUACCAUCAUAAAUGUCGAUUGAUUGUUGCUCUGCUAUCUCUACUCACUACAAUUAGGCGAACCCUCCUUCCUCCUCGUCGUGGAUGAUGGAUACUGAUAAAGGAUGUUACUAUACACUUUCGGGUAUUGAUGUGCUCAAGGUUGGUAAAGGUACUUGGCUACGAGUGAGGAGACGCUUAGAAUAACCACCUAGUCAAGAGACAAUUUCUUUUCCAUUUCAAGUUGGAUUUUGAUAUUUAUUUUAUGGGGAUUAAUUGGUUGUAAUAUUUUAUUGGCCACCUUUAGACCACUUAGUUAAUUUUGAAUUUAAUGGCUUUAAAUUGUUUUGUUGCUUUGCAUUUAUUUUCUAAGGAGAAUAAAUGUAGCAGUGACACUCCCAAGAUUUGGACGAUGAAUUUAUUAAAUAAAAACAGGGUUUUUGAUUA